rnacentral:rRNA from 1 species
GAGUUUGAUCUUGGCUCAGAACGAACGCUGGCGGCAUGCCUAACACAUGCAAGUCGAACGAGACCUUCGGGUCUAGUGGCGCACGGGUGCGUAACGCGUGGGAAUCUGCCCUUGGGUUCGGGAUAACAGUUGGAAACGACUGCUAAUACCGGAUGAUGUCUUCGGACCAAAGAUUUAUCGCCCAGGGAUGAGCCCGCGUCGGAUUAGCUUGUUGGUGAGGUAAAGCUCACCAAGGCGACGAUCCGUAGCUGGUCUGAGAGGAUGAUCAGCCACACUGGGACUGAGACACGGCCCAGACUCCUACGGGAGGCAGCAGUGGGGAAUAUUGGACAAUGGGCGAAAGCCUGAUCCAGCAAUGCCGCGUGAGUGAUGAAGGCCUUAGGAUUGUAAAGCUCUUUUACCCGGGAUGAUAAUGACAGUACCGGGAGAAUAAGCCCGGCUAACUCCGUGCCAGCAGCCGCCGUAAC